rnacentral:rRNA from 1 species
GUUGAACGCUGGCGGCGUGCCUAAUACAUGCAAGUCGAGCGAAUGGAUUAAGAGCUUGCUCUUAUGAAGUUAGCGGCGGACGGGUGAGUAACACGUGGGUAACCUGCCCAUAAGACUGGGAUAACUCCGGGAAACCGGGGCUAAUACCGGAUAACAUUUUGAACCGCAUGGUUCGAAAUUGAAAGGCGGCUUCGGCUGUCACUUAUGGAUGGACCCGCGUCGCAUUAGCUAGUUGGUGAGGUAACGGCUCACCAAGGCAACGAUGCGUAGCCGACCUGAGAGGGUGAUCGGCCACACUGGGACUGAGACACGGCCCAGACUCCUACGGGAGGCAGCAGUAGGGAAUCUUCCGAAAUGGACGAACGUCUGACGGAGCAACGCCGCGUGAGUGAUGAAGGCUUUCGGGUCGUAAAACUCUGUUGUUAGGGAAGAACAAGUGCUAGUUGAAUAAGCUGGCACCUUGACGGUACCUAACCAGAAAGCCACGGCUAACUACGUGCCAGCCGCCGCAGUAA